GUUUCCCUUCACAGGCAGCAAACGGUGAGCUUAGUUCCUGAAAAUGUCCUGCUGCACCGAUGGUCUCGGUAGCAGCAGCGCCAUCUCCUGGUAAUAAGAGGAACAGCACACCGACCUUCUCAUCCAGCAUAGGUCUGAUGAGUCUCAAGGCAGAUGGGAUUGUGACAGAGUGACAGAGAUGCUGAGAGAGUCAGGAGAAGGCAGACCAAACUCCCAGGGGUGUCAAAGUGUCGGAGCAGCCGAGAAAAAGGUUAUCUGCUGAUUUCUUAAGUGAAAACCUGAGACUCUUGAAGAACUUUUAAUGCUACCUGGAAAUGAACGAGAGAAAAAUGGAGAAACCAGAGAAAAGAAACAAAGUUAAAUGAAUUCAUUUAAAAACUUUAACUGGGGAUGAAAAGAAAAAGAACAAUUGAAUUUUGGAGAAUCAAAAUAAUAAUGUUUUAUAAAAGUAAAAACCAUAAAACAGUCUGAAUUGAAUGCUGCCAAGUCAAACUAUGACAAUAAUUAUCACUAAAUGUGGUUAUUUGCUUUAUAUGCAAUGAAAAUGACUCCAUACUGUAAAACCUCCCCAAUUAAAACAUAUUUUCUGUCCUGUCUUUCAUGCCUUUUCCACACUUCUAACUCCUUCAAUACAAAGUUGGUUGAUAUA